UGGGGAAUAUUGCACAAUGGGCGCAAGCCUGAUGCAGCCAUGCCGCGUGUGUGAAGAAGGCCUUCGGGUUGUAAAGUACUUUCAGUCGGGAGGAAGGUGUCAAGGUUAAUAACCUUGGCAAUUGACGUUACCGACAGAAGAAGCACCGGCUAACUCCGUGCCAGCAGCCGCGGUAAUACGGAGGGUGCAAGCGUUAAUCGGAAUUACUGGGCGUAAAGCGCACGCAGGCGGUUUGUUAAGUCAGAUGUGAAAUCCUCGGGCUCAACCUGGGAACUGCAUCUGAUACUGGCAAGCUUGAGUCUCGUAGAGGGGGGUAGAAUUCCAGGUGUAGCGGUGAAAUGCGUAGAGAUCUGGAGGAAUACCGGUGGCGAAGGCGGCCCCCUGGACGAAGACUGACGCUCAGGUGCGAAAGCGUGGGGAGCAAACAGG
rnacentral:rRNA from 1 species